CCUANGGGUGGCAGCAGUUGGGAAUCUUGCGCAAUGGGGGAAACCCUGACGCAGCGACGCCGCGUGCGGGAUGACGGUCUUCGGAUUGUAAACCGCUUUUCUCGGGGAAGAUAAUGACGGUACCCGAGGAAUAAGCCCCGGCUAACUCCGUGCCAGCAGCCGCGGUAAGACGGAGGGGGCAAGCGUUGUCCGGAAUUACUGGGCGUAAAGCGCUCGUAGGCGGUCGCAUACGGCGGUGGUGAAAGCUCCCGGCUCAACUGGGAGAGGCCCGCCGCAACGGUGUGACUCGAGGGUGGUAGAGGCAGAUGGAAUUCCUGGUGUAGCGGUGAAAUGCGUAGAGAUCAGGAGGAACACCCAUGGCGAAGGCAGUCUGCUGGGCCACACCUGACGCUGAGGAGCGAAAGCCAGGGGAGCGAACGGGAUUAGAUACCCGGNUANUC
rnacentral:rRNA from 1 species